rnacentral:rRNA from 1 species
GUCCUUUAGAUAUUAAUUUAAGGUCUAACCUGCCCACUGAAUUAUUUUUAAAUGGCCGCAGUAAUUUGACUGUGCAAAGGUAGCAUAAUCAUUAGUUUUUUAAUUAAAAGCUUGUAUGAAAGGUUGGACGAAGUAAAAUCUGUCUCUAAUUAAAUUAAUUUAGAAUUUAACUUUUAAGUUAAAAGGCUUAAAUUUAACUAAAAGACGAGAAGACCCUAUAGAUCUUUAUAUCUUAAUUAUUAGAUUUAAUUAUGAAUUUUUUAAAUUUUAUUAAUAAAGUUAUUUUAUUGGGGUAAUAUAAAGAUUAAAAUAAUUCUUUUUUUUUAUUUACAUUAAUUUAUGAGUUUUAUGAUCCAAUUUUAUUGAUUAAAAGAUUAAGUUACCUUAGGGAUAACAGCGUAAUUUUUUUAGAGAGUUCUUAUCGAUAAAAAAGUUUGCGACCUCGAUGUUGGAUUAAAGAUUAUUUUAGGUGCAGAAGUUUAAAAAUUUUGGUCUGUUCGACCAUUAAAUCUUUACAUGAUCUGAGUUCAGACCGGUGUAAGCCAGGUCGGUUUCUAUCUUUAGUAAAUUAAAAUAUUUUAGUACGAAAGGACCAAUUAUUUAAUAUAUUAAUAUUUAUAAUUUUUGUUUAUUAUUAAA